rnacentral:rRNA from 1 species
GUAAACGGCGGCCGUAACUAUAACGGUCCUAAGGUAGCGAAAUUCCUUGUCGGGUAAGUUCCGACCCGCACGAAAGGCGUAAUGAUUUGGGCACUGUCUCAACGAGGGGCCCGGUGAAAUUGAAAUACCUGUGAAGAUGCAGGUUACCCGCGACUGGACAGAAAGACCCCAUGGAGCUUCACUGCAGCUUGAGAUUGAAUCCCGGUGACAGAUGCACAGGAUAGGUGGGAGGCGCCGAAGCAUUGCCCUAGGGCGGUGCGGAGCCGAUGUUGGGAUACCACCCUUCUGUUGCUGAGAUUCUAACGCGAGGAGUAACGACCCUGCGGACCCUCUCAGGCAGGCGGUUUGACUGGGGCGGUCGCCUCCGAAAGAGUAACGGAGGCGCCCAAAGGUUCCCUCAGGCCGGACAGAAACCGGCCGAAGAGUGCAAAGGCAGAAGGGAGCUUGACUGCGAGACCAACAAGUCGAGCAGGGACGAAAGUCGGGCUUAGUGAUCCGGUGGUACUGGGUGGAAAGGCCAUCGCUCAACGGAUAAAAGCUACCCUGGGGAUAACAGGCUAAUCUCUCCCAAGAGUCCAUAUCGACGGGGAGGUUUGGCACCUCGAUGUCGGCUCAUCACAUCCUGGGGCUGGAGUAGGUCCCAAGGGUUGGGCUGUUCGCCCAUUAAAGUGGUACGCGAGCUGGGUUCAAAACGUCGUGAGACAGUUUGGUUCAUAUCCAUCGCGGGCGCAAGAAGUUUGAGAGGAGCUGCUCCUAGUACGAGAGGACCGGAGUGGACGGAUCAACGGUGUCCCAGUUGUCACGCCAGUGGCACGGCUGGAAAGCCGCAUCCGGGAAGGAUAAAUGCUGAAAGCAUCUAAGCGUGAAGCCAACCUCAAGAUGAGACUUCUCAUCAGCAAUGAGUAAGACCCCUUACAGACGAUGAGGUAGAUAGGUUAUGAGUGGAAGAGCCGCAAGGCUUGGAGCGACAUAAAACUAAUAGGUCGAGGUCUUAACUUA